UGGGGAAUUUUGGACAAUGGGCGCAAGCCUGAUCCAGCCAUGCCGCGUGCGGGAAGAAGGCCUUCGGGUUGUAAACCGCUUUUGUCAGGGAAGAAAUCUUCUGAGUUAAUACCUCGGGAGGAUGACGGUACCUGAAGAAUAAGCACCGGCUAACUACGUGCCAGCAGCCGCGGUAAUACGUAGGGUGCAAGCGUUAAUCGGAAUUACUGGGCGUAAAGCGCGCGCAGGCGGUUUUGUAAGACAGAGGUGAAAUCCCCGGGCUCAACCUGGGAACUGCCUUUGUGACUGCAAGGCUUGAGUGCGGCAGAGGGGGGAUGGAAUUCCGCGUGUAGCAGUGAAAUGCGUAGAUAUGCGGAGGAACACCGAUGGCGAAGGCAAUCCCCUGGGCCUGCACUGACGCUCAUGCACGAAAGCGUGGGGAGCAAACAGGAUUAGAUACCCUGGUAGUCCACGCCCUAAACGAUGUCAACUGGUUGUUGGGAAGGUUCCUUCUCAGUAACGUAGCUAACGCGUGAAGUUGACCGCCUGGGGAGUACGGCCGCAAGGUUG
rnacentral:rRNA from 1 species